CAAAGAUCUAAAGUUUGAGUUAGAACGUCAUUUUAAGAUAUUUACUACAGAGUCAUGGAUAAUCUCUUAGUGUCAGGUCAUUUAAACACAAGAACUUUAUGAUCGACUGUUGACACAUUUAAUUGCUGUUAUAUCUAAACUCAAUACAACUCAAUGGUCCAUAGUUACUGAUCAGAACAAUAUAGGAGAUAUUCUGAAUUAAGAUUUUUAGUUGUCAAGAAUGUAUUGUGGAUUUGUUUAAUGUACAUUUUUAUAAGUUUGAUGGGAUUUACGUACUGAACUGAAUCUUGUUUCUGCCCCACUCGCAAGGAAAAAAGAAAACCACACCACCACCAACUACGAAGCCGACGACAAGGCUGACGCCGACUACGAAGCCGACUACGACUAUGAAGCUGGCUACGACUACGAAGCUGAUGCCGACUACAAAGCCGACUACGACUAAGAAGAGAACUACAACUAUGAAGCCGACUACGACUACGAAGCCGACUACGACUAAGAAGAGAACUAAGGAGAGAACUACAACUAUGAAGCCAACGCCGACUACGAAGCCGACUACGACUACGAAGCCGACUAAGAAGAGAACAACAACUAUGAAGCCAACUACGACGAAACUAACUACUACAACAUCACCAUCAUCAAGCACAGUCGCUCCUCCAGAACAAAAACCACCUCUCCCUUUGGUGAUAGGUAUCGUUGUCCCCUUGCUCCUCAUCAUCCUCCUCCUCAUCUUCUACCUGAUUCAUCGACGCAGGUUUAAAAGGCGAGGUAAAUAAAACCUGACACAGUAUGAGUGUAACAUAUUCUGCACACUUUGAUUUGUUAAUUUAUAUUUUAAUAAUUAAUUUGUAAAAAUGACAUCAGAAAGUCAGAUACAGGUUAUAACUCAGAUAUGUUUUUAGGUCAGUUGAUUAUUACUCAACAGAUUAUCAGCUCUGUGACAUUCACACUCUUUUUCACAGGAACUGAGGAAAGAUGCCACGUCUAUGAUGAGAUACAGGGUGGAGCAGAGUUUCAGGUUACAAACGGUGAGAAAUAAGAAGUGUUUCAUUCUAUAAAAAACUUCCUCCUUCCUCUUUCUGUGAGGAUCCAGACUGAUGUGAAAUGAAAUCCCACACUGAUGGAUUUGUGCUGAGUUUCCUAAAGUACACAGACGGUGGCCAACCUGAUUUAUAUGACUUGAACCAAAUAAGCUGUAUUAAUGUAUGUAAGUACCACUUCAUAUAUACAAAUGAGUAUUCUUCUAUUUUUGAUUCUUCCUGCAGGUGUAGAACGAGUCCCUGUACCUACGGAUGCAUACUGCAUGGUAGAGUAUACAGGUAAAUAAUUCAAAAUAUUUCCACUACCUUUACGAAGCGCCAAAAAAAGUUGCUUGUUUAGUGCAGAUGACUUCACGAUUUAGCACCGAGCAGACAGGAAGUCACGUACAGAAACAACGACUGCUGUGUCUCAGUUCAGGUCUGCAUCCUUCAGAGGAGCAUUUGAAGGCCAAUUAUGUCACAACGCUGCCUGAAGGCUGUCCCAGUCUGAAGGCUCCUCCAGAUGCUCCUUCUUUACCCUGUUUCUGGAGGAUGCACUGCUACAAUCCUUUGUGGCCUCACAUAUCCCAAUAUUCUUUGCGCGCCUGAAAAAGAAGAAAGAAAGAAAGAAAGAGAGAAAAUGGGGACAUCACGUGGCGUAGAUCGUCACUUUUGCGGGCCUGGGUAGCAGAAGUCGUGACGUAAGGGUAAAACAUCUGGUGACGCAACCAGGAAAUGCUCCAAAGGCUAGACCGUCACAUUUAACGAUGGCUGACGAGGUUAACAAGGUCUCUCUGAAGGACUCGCCUUCAAAGACCACAAAGGCCGAGUCCUUCAGAGGAAGCAGACCCUGAAUUGAAUCACAGCAAAUGUCUCAAAAAAGAGACAAAUACAAGCUCUUCUAAUAAUCCUUUGGUCGGCAACACUUCAUGUUGUUGUUUUUAUAGCACAUACCUAUAACUGCGGUCGCGAGUAGUUAUGUGAUUUUCGCGGGAACUCCUCGGUCUCGUGACGCCAGUUGUCCGACCGUACUCGGCGUGGUGGACUCAAAACACAAACGGUGGCGGAGCAAAACCAGACCGGAGCCGUAACGCACUGGAUACGUAUCUGGUGGAAUCUCAGGAUGAGAGUUGAUCAAAAC
rnacentral:lncRNA from 1 species